GACGAACGCUGGCGGCGUGCUUAACACAUGCAAGUCGAACGGAAAGGCCCUGCUUUUGUGGGGUGCUCGAGUGGCGAACGGGUGAGUAACACGUGAGUAACCUGCCCUUGACUUUGGGAUAACUUCAGGAAACUGGGGCUAAUACCGGAUAGGAGCUCCUGCACCGUGGUGUUGGUUGGAAAGUUUCGGCGGUUGGGGAUGGAUUCGCGGCUUACCCGCUUGUUGGGGUGGUAGGUGCUUACCAAGGCUUUGACGGGUAGCCGGCCUGGGAGAGUGACCGGCGACAUGAGGCCUGAGAUACGGCCCAGUCUCCUACGGGAGGCAGCAGUCGGGAAUAUUGCGCAGUGGGCGGAAGCCUGAUGCAGCAACGCCGCGUGCGGGAUGACGGCCUUCGGGUUGUAAACCGCUUUCGCCUGUGACGAAGCGUGAGUGACGGUAAUGGGUAAAGAAGCACCGGCUAACUACGUG
rnacentral:rRNA from 1 species